rnacentral:rRNA from 1 species
CUCGUGUCGUGAGAUCGUAGGGUUAAGUCCCGAAACGAGCGCAACCCCUUAGUCCCAGUGUUACAAGUGUCUUGGGAAACUGCCUCGGUAAAACGGGGAGGAAGGUGGGAUGAUGUCUGGUCCGCAUAGUCCCUUAUGUCCUGGGCUACACACGCGCUACAAUGGUCGGUACAAUAGGCAGCCAAGCCGUAAGGCGGAGCUAAUCCUAAAACCGAUCUCAGUUCGGAUUGUGGGCUGCAACUCGCCCACAUGAAGUUGGAUUCGCUAGUAAUCGUGGAUCAGCCAUGCCACGGUGAAUACGUUCUCGGGUCUU